rnacentral:rRNA from 1 species
CCUACGGGUGGCAGCAGUGAGGAAUAUUGGUCAAUGGACGAGAGUCUGAACCAGCCAAGUAGCGUGAAGGAUGACUGCCCUAUGGGUUGUAAACUUCUUUUAUAUGGGAAUAAAAUGUUCCACGUGUGGGAUUUUGUAUGUACCAUAUGAAUAAGGAUCGGCUAACUCCGUGCCAGCAGCCGCGGUAAUACGGAGGAUCCGAGCGUUAUCCGAAUUUAUUGGGUUUAAAGGGAGCGUAGGUGGAUUGUUAAGUCAGUUGUGAAAGUUUGCGGCUCAACCGUAAAAUUGCAGUUGAAACUGGCAGUCUUGAGUACAGUAGAGGUGGGCGGAAUUCGUGGUGUAGCGGUGAAAUGCUUAGAUAUCACGAAGAACUCCGAUUGCGAAGGCAGUUCACUGGACUGCAACUGACACUGAGGCUCGAAAGUGUGGGUAUCAAACAGGAUUAGAUACCCUAGUAGUC